UACGUAGGGUGCGAGCGUUAAUCGGAAUUACUGGGCGUAAAGCGUGCGCAGGCGGUUUUGUAAGACAGGCGUGAAAUCCCCGGGCUCAACCUGGGAAUGGCGCUUGUGACUGCAAGCUAGAGUGCGGCAGAGGGGGAUGGAAUUCCGCGUGUAGCAGUGAAAUGCGUAGAUAUGCGGAGGAACACCGAUGGCGAAGGCAAUCCCCUGGGCCUGCACUGACGCUCAUGCACGAAAGCGUGGGGAGCAAACAGG
rnacentral:rRNA from 1 species